rnacentral:rRNA from 1 species
GACAGAGGGUGCUAGCGUUGUUCGGAAUUACUGGGCGUAAAGGGCGCGUAGGCGGCUCGUUUAGUCGGGUGUGAAAUCCCAAGGCUCAACCUUGGAACUGCAUUCGAUACUGGCGGGCUAGAGACCGGAAGAGGUGGGUGGAAUACCCAGUGUAGAGGUGAAAUUCGUAGAUAUUGGGUGGAACACCGGUGGCGAAGGCGGCUCACUGGUCCGGUUCUGACGCUGAGGCGCGAAAGCGUGGGAAGCAAACAGG